UUAUUGGUGGCUCCCGCACGGUCCCAGAUUGCCUCUCGCUGCCGAUGUCAAGUUAGGUCCCAUAAAUCGUGGGGUUUUUCCGGAGUUACGGUCGACGUCUUCACUGGCACGCCGUCGUUCCAUCGUCGCCUUCGGAGAUCUCAGCAAUGCCGUCGUUGAAUUCCCGCGCUGCUUCGUGCCCGAAUACGAGGUCAGGCUUCAGCUCAGUUUCUAGCACAACAUUGGCCUCUAGAACUUGAAAUUGGGUGCGAGAGAAGAAGGCACUAAUCUUCAUUUUGGUAAGAAUAAAACAGUAAGGAUAAAGGGGUCACGCAGGAUGACACAAGGCUUGAAGAUGCCAAAAAACGAUAGCCUCUCUCCGCCAGCAGUUGAAGUUGUUAUCAAAUAUCAAUGAUCUAAUGCUUGAAACAAACUUACUAGCGUUUGACCAAGAAUUUAAUGUACUGGAUGUGAAUCAUACCAUUUCUCCUUGAGUUGAAACUCUGGUGUUCCUUCAUCUCUGCCCCUAAGGCUGUCAACAUCCUUAGCUGAUGAAAAGAUUGUGUUAUAAAAACUCAGAAAAAGCAUAUAGUAUUGUUGAUGAAACAAAUCAGCUUUUUUUGCUUUAGUUUAUUGUCAAGAUGUAUCUAUAGAAGUUACUUGAGUAGCUCAGAUGUUGUGCCCCUUCUUUACAAAAUCAUUGUAAAGCACCAAAUAGAGAAGUGUACAUAAACGAUCUCAAUGUUUGCU